rnacentral:rRNA from 1 species
UACGAAGGGGGCUAGCGUUGUUCGGAAUUACUGGGCGUAAAGCGCGCGUAGGCGGUGAUCUUUGUCAGAGGUGAAAGCCCGGGGCUCAACUCCGGAAUUGCCUUUGAAACGUGAUUGCUUGAGUCCGAGAGAGGAUGGCGGAAUUCCUAGUGUAGAGGUGAAAUUCGUAGAUAUUAGGAAGAACACCGGUGGCGAAGGCGGCCAUCUGGCUCGGUACUGACGCUCAGGCGCGAAAGCGUGGGGAGCAAACAGG